rnacentral:tRNA from 1 species
CGGGCUGUGGCGCAGUUGGUAGCGCGCGCGCAUGGGGUGCGUGAGGUCGCUGGUUCAAGUCCAGUCAGCCCGA